CCUACGGGGGGCUGCAGUGAGGAAUAUUGGUCAAUGGACGAGAGUCUGAACCAGCCAAGUAGCGUGAAGGAUGACUGCCCUAUGGGCUGUAAACUUCUUUUAUAUGGGAAUAAAACAGGGUAUGCAUACCCUCUUGUAUGUACCAUAUGUAUAAGGAUCGGCUAACUACGUGCCAGCAGCCGCGGUAAUACGGAGGUUCCGAGCGUUAUCCGGAUUUAUUGGGUUUAAAGGGAGCGUAGGUGGAUUGUUAAGUCAGUUGUGAAAGUUUGCGGCUCAACCGUAAAAUUGCAGUUGAAACUGGAAGUCUUGAGUACAGUAGAGGUGAGCGGAAUUCGUGGUGUAGCGGUGAAAUGCUUAGAUAUCACGAAGAACUCCGAUUGCGAAGGCAGUUCACUGGACUGCAACUGACACUGAGGCUCGAAAGUGUGGGUAUCAAACAGGAUUAGAUACCCCAGUAGUC
rnacentral:rRNA from 1 species